GACGAACGCUGGCGGCGUGCCUAAUACAUGCAAGUCGAGCGCUGAAGGUUGGUACUUGUACCGACUGGAUGAGCAGCGAACGGGUGAGUAACGCGUGGGGAAUCUGCCUUUGAGCGGGGGACAACAUUUGGAAACGAAUGCUAAUACCGCAUAAAAACUUUAAACACAAGUUUUAAGUUUGAAAGAUGCAAUUGCAUCACUCAAAGAUGAUCCCGCGUUGUAUUAGCUAGUUGGUGAGGUUAAGGCUCACCAAGGCGAAGAAACAUAGCCGACCCUAGGGGGAGGUCGGCCCCCUUGGGACUGGGACACGGCCCAAACUCCUUCGGGGAGCAGCCGUAGGGGAUCUUCGGCCAUGGGGGGAAGUCUGACCGAACAACGCCGAGUGGGUGGAGAAGGUUUUCGGGUCGGUAAACUCUGUUGGUAGAGGAGAACGUUCGUUAGAGUGGAAAGCUCAUCAAGUGACGGUAACUACACAGAAAGCAACGGCUAACUACGUG
rnacentral:rRNA from 1 species